CGUAAGGUUCGGUCGGGGGUAAAUGGGCCCCACCAAGGCGACGAUCGGGUAGCUGGUCUGAGAGGACGAUCCAGCCCACACGGGAACUGAGACACGGUCCCG
rnacentral:rRNA from 1 species